GGACUACUGGGGUUUCUAAUCCCGUUUGCUCCCCUGGCUUUCGCGCCUCAGCGUCAGAAAGGGUCCAGCAGAUCGCUUUCGCCACCGGCGUUCCUUCCGAUAUCUACGCAUUUCACCGCUCCACCGGAAGUUCCAUCUGCCCCUACCCUCCUCCAGCCCGCCAGUAUCAGAAGCACUUUUCCGGUUGAGCCGAAAGAUUUCACCCCUGACUUGGCAAGCCGCCUACGCGCCCUUUAAGCCCAGUGAAUCCGAACAACGUUCGCACGGUUCGUCUUACCGCGGCUGCUGGCAC
rnacentral:rRNA from 1 species